rnacentral:rRNA from 1 species
GACGUAGGGUGCGAGCGUUGUCCGGAUUUAUUGGGCGUAAAGAGCUCGUAGGCGGCUCGUCGCGUCGACCGUGAAAACCCGCAGCUUAACUGCGGGCCUGCGGUUGAUACGGGCGGGCUAGAGUUCGGUAGGGGAGACUGGAAUUCCUGGUGUAGCGGUGAAAUGCGCAGAUAUCAGGAGGAACACCAGCGGCGAAGGCGGCGCUCUGGGCCGGAACUGACGCUGAGGAGCGAAAGCCAGGGGAGCAAACGGG